rnacentral:rRNA from 1 species
CGAGUGGCGGACGGGUGAGUAAUGUCUGGGAAACUGCCCGAUGGAGGGGGAUAACUACUGGAAACGGUAGCUAAUACCGCAUAACGUCGCAAGACCAAAGAGGGGGACCUUCGGGCCUCUUGCCAUCGGAUGUGCCCAGAUGGGAUUAGCUAGUAGGUGGGGUAACGGCUCACCUAGGCGACGAUCCCUAGCUGGUCUGAGAGGGUGACCGGCCACACUGGAACUGAGACACGGUCCAG